rnacentral:rRNA from 1 species
GGGGAAUAUUGCACAAUGGGCGCAAGCCUGAUGCAGCCAUGCCGCGUGUAUGAAGAAGGCCUUCGGGUUGUAAAGUACUUUCAGCGGGGAGGAAGGCGACAGGGUUAAUAACCCUGUCGAUUGACGUUACCCGCAGAAGAAGCACCGGCUAACUCCGUGCCAGCAGCCGCGGUAAUACGGAGGGUGCAGGCGUUAAUCGGAAUUACUGGGCGUAAAGCGCACGCAGGCGGUCUGUCAAGUCGGAUGUGAAAUCCCCGGGCUCAACCUGGGAACUGCAUUCGAAACUGGCAGGCUAGAGUCUUGUAGAGGGGGGUAGAAUUCCAGGUGUAGCGGUGAAAUGCGUAGAGAUCUGGAGGAAUACCGGUGGCGAAGGCGGCCCCCUGGACAAAGACUGACGCUCAGGUGCGAAAGCGUGGGGAGCAAAC